GGCGCGGAGGGCCUCUCGGGCUGAGACCCCCCCAGCCACUUUGGCGCUAGCGUUGACACCGUGGGUUCUAGAAGGAGAAAGAGGUCAGCCGGCCAGCCUGGCGACGGUUGCGCUGCAGUGCAUGGUUGCUGCGUCCAGGGUAGCCUAGAAAGCAGGGCCUGAAAACACGUGGACACAAGCAGCUCUGAUUUUGGUGAGGCUAGAAACAUAUGCAUACUUGCAGGAGGCCUAGAGGGCCUCAUCGGUGCACUGCAGAAAACCACAGUCCUGUGUCUGGAGCCAUUGAGGAGAUGACUGAGUCCAGGGGUUCAAUCAAGCCUUUUCUGGUUUCCUUGGAGACAAACACCGGCGCCUGCAAGGGAGCUCAAGAACAGAGAGAGAGAGGACUCCUUGGAGUUGACAGGGAGAUUUGAGGCUGCCGAGACUCUACUUUGGAAAUGACAUGUCUCCCAAGAUAAAAUAAAAGAUUUUGCAUUUGGGAUCUCGAUGAAGAACAUACUCCAACUACAAUGAUGAGCCUCAGCUCCUUCCACUGGGAAGGUGAACAGAAGGAGCCUUACCCGCCAACAUAUGCAUGCCCAGGAGUCGAAGCCAAAAUUCAGAGGCACGCUGCAGAAUCAUUUUGAAAAGCAAGGAACGGAAGGAGGCCAGAGGAUACAACUCCAGUACCCUUUUGAACUCUGACAAGACAAAUGAACCUUCAGUCAUGAUAUUCCAGACCAGAAAUGACAACUUUCGAAGGCAGAAGUUUGAUUGCAAGUGCAGCCUGUCCAUCAGAAUCCAACAAGAGGAAUAGCAAAUAAAGGUUGAGCAUUUGUAGCAUGCUUUUAGACAAAGCAAAUGCAGUAUUAAGAACCCCAAUUUCUGAACGCAUCAUAAAAUAUCCGUUCAGCUUUAUGUAGUCAGACUGCAUCUAUUUAUAAUUUUUUUUUACAAAUGAACUACAUAUAAAUUGCAUUCCAAAUAAGAGGAACUAAUAACUUCUCUAGGCGUGCCACGUUACAUGGACUGAUUUUUUUUUAUAAAUAAGUCACAGGAUUUUUUUUUCUUUUUUUCUAUUUUUUAUUUUUAUAUUCCCCAUACAAUUGCACCCUCCUU